GAUGAACGCUGGCGGCGUGCCUAAUACAUGCAAGUCGAGCGGACAGACCAGGAGCUUGCUGCUCUGACGUUAGGCGAGGGGGGGUGAGUAACGCGUGGAUAACGUACCUAUAAUUCGGGGAUAACUACGGGAAAGCGGCGCAAAUACCGGAGGAUAUCUUGAUCCGCAUGGGUGAAUAGUAAAAGACGGCUUUGCGGGAUCGAAUAGAUGGAUACGCGCCGCAUUAGCUAGUUGGUAAGGUAACGGCCUACGAAGGGAACGAUGCGUUGACGACCUGAUAGGGUGAUCGGCCGCACUGGAGCUGAGACACGGUCCAGACUCCUACGGGAGGCAGCAGUAGGGAACGGGCCGCAAUGGGCGGAAGCCUGACGGAGCGAGGCCGCGUGAGUGACGAAGGUCUUCGGAUCGUAAUGCUCUGUUAUUAGGGAAGAACAGAUGUGUAAGUAACUAUGCACGUCUUGACGGUACCUGAUCAGAAAGCCACGGCUAACUACGUG
rnacentral:rRNA from 1 species